rnacentral:rRNA from 1 species
AUUGAACGCUGGCGGCAGGCCUAACACAUGCAAGUCGAACGAGUGGCGGACGGGUGAGUAAUGUAUGGGAAACUGCCCGAUAGAGGGGGAUAACUACUGGAAACGGUAGCUAAUACCGCAUACUAUCGGAUGUGCCCAUAUGGGAUUAGCUAGUAGGUGGGGUAAAGGCUCACCUAGGCGACGAUCUCUAGCUGGUCUGAGAGGAUGACCAGCCACAUUGUGACUGAGACACGGCCCAGACUCCUACGGGAGGCAGCAGUGGGGAAUAUUGCACAAUGGGCGCAAGCCUGAUGCAGCCAUGCCGCGUGUAUGAAGAAGGCCUUAGGGUUGUAAAGUACUUUCAGCGGGGAGGCGUUACCCGCAGAAGAAGCACCGGCUAACUCCGUGCCAGCCGCCGCGGUAAUUC